rnacentral:tmRNA from 1 species
GGGGCCGUAAUGGUUUCGACAGGUGUGUGGAACGAAGAUAAGCGAGCCGUGGUGGUGAUCCACGUAAAAAGUACCCGUUAAAAAGAAACGCUAAAACAAACAACAACUUCGCACUGGCUGCAUAGUUCAGCCCCGCGCGUCGGCCGUGUUCACCUGCAGGCACGAUAACCGGCGUCAUUAAUGCAGGGACCUCAUGUGUGAUCUCCCGGUAGCACGUGAGUAUCCACGGGAUAGCGAGCCUUAAGUUUGCCGGCUUGGCGAUGGGCGAGCGAAAUCUUUAUCAACCGGCUGCGCUCGGAGAAAGUUUUCCGGAAGUAUGCUUGGACGUGGGUUCGACUCCCACCGGCUUCACCA